UACGGAGGGUGCAAGCGUUGUUCGGAAUUAUUGGGCGUAAAGCGCGCGCAGGCGGCCUGGAAAGUCUAUGGGUGAAAUGCCGGGGCUCAACCCCGUGCAUGCCCAGGAUACUGCCAGGCUGGAGACACGUAGAGGCAAGCGGAAUUCCGGGUGUAGCGGUGGAAUGCGUAGAGAUCCGGAAGAACACCGGAGGCGAAGGCGGCUUGCUGGGCGUGAUCUGACGCUGAGGCGCGAAAGCGUGGGGAGCGAACAGG
rnacentral:rRNA from 1 species